rnacentral:rRNA from 1 species
ACUAAGCGUACACGGUGGAUGCCCUGGCAGUCAGAGGCGAUGAAGGACGUGCUAAUCUGCGAUAAGCGUCGGUAAGGUGAUAUGAACCGUUAUAACCGGCGAUUUCCGAAUGGGGAAACCCAGUGUGUUUCGACACACUAUCAUUAACUGAAUCCAUAGGUUAAUGAGGCGAACCGGGGGAACUGAAACAUCUAAGUACCCCGAGGAAAAGAAAUCAACCGAGAUUCCCCCAGUAGCGGCGAGCGAACGGGGAGCAGCCCAGAGCCUGAAUCAGUGUGUGUGUUAGUGGAAGCGUCUGGAAAGGCGCGCGAUACAGGGUGACAGCCCCGUACACAAAAAUGCACAUGCUGUGAGCUCGAUGAGUAGGGCGGGACACGUGGUAUCCUGUCUGAAUAUGGGGGGACCAUCCUCCAAGGCUAAAUACUCCUGACUGACCGAUAGUGAACCAGUACCGUGAGGGAAAGGCGAAAAGAACCCCGGCGAGGGGAGUGAAAAAGAACCUGAAACCGUGUACGUACAAGCAGUGGGAGCCUCUUUAUGGGGUGACUGCGUACCUUUUGUAUAAUGGGUCAGCGACUUAUAUUCUGUAGCAAGGUUAACCGAAUAGGGGAGCCGAAGGGAAACCGAGUCUUAACUGGGCGUUAAGUUGCAGGGUAUAGACCCGAAACCCGGUGAUCUAGCCAUGGGCAGGUUGAAGGUUGGGUAACACUAACUGGAGGACCGAACCGACUAAUGUUGAAAAAUUAGCGGAUGACUUGUGGYUGGGGGUGAAAGGCCAAUCAAACCGGGAGAUAGCUGGUUCUCCCCGAAAGCUAUUUAGGUAGCGCCUCGUGAAUUCAUCUCCGGGGGUAGAGCACUGUUUCGGCAAGGGGGUCAUCCCGACUUACCAACCCGAUGCAAACUGCGAAUACCGGAGAAUGUUAUCACGGGAGACACACGGCGGGUGCUAACGUCCGUCGUGAAGAGGGAAACAACCCAGACCGCCAGCUAAGGUCCCAAAGUCAUGGUUAAGUGGGAAACGAUGUGGGAAGGCCCAGACAGCCAGGAUGUUGGCUUAGAAGCAGCCAUCAUUUAAAGAAAGCGUAAUAGCUCACUGGUCGAGUCGGCCUGCGCGGAAGAUGUAACGGGGCUAAACCAUGCACCGAAGCUGCGGCAGCGACGCUUAUGCGUUGUUGGGUAGGGGAGCGUUCUGUAAGCCUGUGAAGGUGUGCUGUGAGGCAUGCUGGAGGUAUCAGAAGUGCGAAUGCUGACAUAAGUAACGAUAAAGCGGGUGAAAAGCCCGCUCGCCGGAAGACCAAGGGUUCCUGUCCAACGUUAAUCGGGGCAGGGUGAGUCGACCCCUAAGGCGAGGCCGAAAGGCGUAGUCGAUGGGAAACAGGUUAAUAUUCCUGUACUUGGUGUUACUGCGAAGGGGGGACGGAGAAGGCUAUGUUGGCCGGGCGACGGUUGUCCCGGUUUAAGCGUGUAGGCUGGUUUUCCAGGCAAAUCCGGAAAAUCAAGGCUGAGGCGUGAUGACGAGGCACUACGGUGCUGAAGCAACAAAUGCCCUGCUUCCAGGAAAAGCCUCUAAGCAUCAGGUAACAUCAAAUCGUACCCCAAACCGACACAGGUGGUCAGGUAGAGAAUACCAAGGCGCUUGAGAGAACUCGGGUGAAGGAACUAGGCAAAAUGGUGCCGUAACUUCGGGAGAAGGCACGCUGAUAUGUAGGUGAGGUCCCUCGCGGAUGGAGCUGAAAUCAGUCGAAGAUACCAGCUGGCUGCAACUGUUUAUUAAAAACACAGCACUGUGCAAACACGAAAGUGGACGUAUACGGUGUGACGCCUGCCCGGUGCCGGAAGGUUAAUUGAUGGGGUUAGCGGUAACGCGAAGCUCUUGAUCGAAGCCCCGGUAAACGGCGGCCGUAACUAUAACGGUCCUAAGGUAGCGAAAUUCCUUGUCGGGUAAGUUCCGACCUGCACGAAUGGCGUAAUGAUGGCCAGGCUGUCUCCACCCGAGACUCAGUGAAAUUGAACUCGCUGUGAAGAUGCAGUGUACCCGCGGCAAGACGGAAAGACCCCGUGAACCUUUACUAUAGCUUGACACUGAACAUUGAGCCUUGAUGUGUAGGAUAGGUGGGAGGCUUUGAAGUGUGGACGCCAGUCUGCAUGGAGCCGACCUUGAAAUACCACCCUUUAAUGUUUGAUGUUCUAACGUUGACCCGUAAUCCGGGUUGCGGACAGUGUCUGGUGGGUAGUUUGACUGGGGCGGUCUCCUCCUAAAGAGUAACGGAGGAGCACGAAGGUUGGCUAAUCCUGGUCGGACAUCAGGAGGUUAGUGCAAUGGCAUAAGCCAGCUUGACUGCGAGCGUGACGGCGCGAGCAGGUGCGAAAGCAGGUCAUAGUGAUCCGGUGGUUCUGAAUGGAAGGGCCAUCGCUCAACGGAUAAAAGGUACUCCGGGGAUAACAGGCUGAUACCGCCCAAGAGUUCAUAUCGACGGCGGUGUUUGGCACCUCGAUGUCGGCUCAUCACAUCCUGGGGCUGAAGUAGGUCCCAAGGGUAUGGCUGUUCGCCAUUUAAAGUGGUACGCGAGCUGGGUUUAGAACGUCGUGAGACAGUUCGGUCCCUAUCUGCCGUGGGCGCUGGAGAACUGAGGGGGGCUGCUCCUAGUACGAGAGGACCGGAGUGGACGCAUCACUGGUGUUCGGGUUGUCAUGCCAAUGGCACUGCCCGGUAGCUAAAUGCGGAAGAGAUAAGUGCUGAAAGCAUCUAAGCACGAAACUUGCCCCGAGAUGAGUUCUCCCUGACNUUGAAGACGACGACGUUGAUAGGCCGGGUGUGUAAGCGCAGCGAUGCGUUGAGCUAACCGGUACUAAUGAACCGUGAGGCUUAACC